GACGAACGCUGGCGGCGUGCUUAACACAUCCACGUCUAACGUCCAGGCUCAGCCACUGUGGUGUGCUCGAGUGCCGAACGGGUGCGUACCACGUGAGUAACCUGCCCUUGCCUUAGUGAUACCUUCCGGACACUCGGGCGAAUACCGGAUAGGAGCCUCCCCUGCACUGUGGGGGUUGGCAAGAUUCGGCGGUUGGGGAUGGUCUCGCCGCUUAUCAGCUUGUUGGUGCGGUAGUGGCUUACCAAGGCUAUGACAGGUAGCCGGCCUGAGAGGGUGAACGCCCACAUAGGGACGGGGAUACGGCCGACAAUGAUCCGGGAGGCAGGAGUGGAGAUUAUUGCACAGUGGGCGCAAGCCUGAUGCAGCAACGCCGCGUGCGGGAUGACGGCCUUCGCGUUGCAAACUGCUUUCGCCUGUGACGACGCAUGCGUGACGGUAAUGGGUAAAGAAGCAGCGGCUAACUAUGU
rnacentral:rRNA from 1 species